AUUGAACGCUGGCGGCAUGCCUUACACAUGCAAGUCGAACGGCAGCGGACCUUCGGGUGCCGGCGAGUGGCGAACGGGUGAGUAAUAUAUCGGAACGUACCUUUCAGUGGGGGAUAACGUAGCGAAAGUUACGCUAAUACCGCAUAUUCUGUGAGCAGGAAAGCAGGGGAUCGCAAGACCUUGCGCUGAUUGAGCGGCCGAUAUCAGAUUAGCUAGUUGGUGAGGUAAAGGCUCACCAAGGCGACGAUCUGUAGCGGGUCUGAGAGGAUGAUCCGCCACACUGGAACUGAGACACGGUCCAGACUCCUACGGGAGGCAGCAGUGGGGAAUUUUGGACAAUGGGUCGCAACGCCUGAUCCAGCCAUGCCGCGUGCAGGAAUAAGGCCUCGGUCGUAACGU
rnacentral:rRNA from 1 species